AGAAAAGAUUAUAUAUUUUAAAACAUAUAGUUUUGAAGAAUACUUCAAGAAAACGACACAGUCAUGGUAUGAGUAACAUGUAUACUUGUGCCGCUGUUCAUUUGGAUUUGGCACAAGUUCUUGCAACCUUUGAUGGAACGGUGGUAUGGAAAGCCACAAGAGCAAAUUAAGAGUGGCAAAGAGACAAAAGAGGAAUCCAAAUUGGUAAAAGAAGAUGUAAAGGAGAAUGGAACAUACAUGGAAAAGUUAACCUGUUCAAUAAAAGGGAAAUGAGAUUAAAGUAUCUUCGAAUUAAUGUAGAAAACAACACACUUCAGAAUCGUUGAAUAAUUAUAUGCGUUUUUAUAGCAACUCAGAACUUUCUGAUAGCCUUUACAUCCUAAUUUUUCUAUUUUAAAACCCACAAAUGUUUCGACGUUCUUAGAUAAAUUUUUGUUGCAAACGUUUGCUCUAAAAUGCAUCUUUCCAUGAUUUUUGCUUAUCAAUUUCCAUGUAAAUAAAAAAAUUAUUCUGUUUGUUGUUCUACAUGAUUUGAAGAUACAUCUCGAUGUCAAUAUGUAAUUGCACACUGAAGUUUCAAGAUUAAUGACGUCAUAUAAAGAAACUUGCUGAUGUCAGCAGAAUUUAUAAGACCGAUGAUUUUUAAAAUACUUGUGUAAGUCUUCUAUCAAUAAUAGUUGUACAAUAUUUGAAUGUAGUAAUUUAAACAAUUUGUUUUUUUUUCGAUCUACCAAUCAAUUUAUGGAGGCAUUCAUAAAGUCCUUCAUCUUUAGGAAAGGCUCACGCAGUAACGAACGAAAUAGAAGUUCGCUUUCUGGAAAAAAUGCUUGUUUCAUGAUGGCUGGUUAAUACAACUGGUUAAUUUCGAUAAUGGUUAUUAUAAUAUUUGCUAAAUUUGCGCAAAAAGUUUGAUGCUUAUUGCGUCACUUUAUUUCAUUGCGAGAGCUGGCUUCUUUAUUGAUAGCGGCCGCUAUUACCAACCUGGAAUAAGGGUGGAGAUAUUUUUAUCGUCGGUUAGGGUGACGUCUGUGUGACGUACGGAGUGUCGUUUCUAUACGAAGUAAUACUCCGUAUAGCUGUUAUACGGAGUUUGGUUUAGCUAUACGGAGUCUGCCAACGAAUGUUCUUAAAGUCCAAUAUAUGACUGUUUCCGAAAAAAAUAAAAAAUAAUCACCAUAAAGAACAAGUUAAAAAACAUGCACAUCAUUUUCCUACUUUUUUAUCCAUCGUAAAUAUACGAAGUAUAUUGUAGCUAUACGGAGUGUGGGAACAUUAGCUUGAUUGCAGCAAACGGAUUAUGGCAUACAGAUUGUGAGAUACCGAGAGUAUGUUAUGCAGAAUUUGCUAUGUGGAGUAUGCAGGAUGUGCUAUAAGGUGUAUGCUAUACGGACAUGACAUACGGAGUAUGCUAUACGGAUUAUGCCAUACGGAGUAUGCUAUACGAAUUAUGCUAUACGGAGUAUGCCAUACGGAGUGUGACAUGUUUUGAUCUAGAUAGAAAGUUUAAGAUAAGUAAAAUAUAUAGCAGGUAGAUGUGUGUCUAAUUUUCUGUUCAGGAUAAGGUGAUGAUAACCACAGCACUUUUUACUAAUAGUGGUUACUUCGUCAAAGAAAAUCAGAAAAACGAGUGUUAGGAGACUCCAGUUAGGUGGACAACGAAGUUUUUGCAUUGCAAUUACAUUAAAAACUUCUAAGAAGCUUUUAACAUGCUUUGUAUCACAAUGCUUUUUUCAUUUCCCAAUAAAAAUAACCCUUUUUGAAAUUAAAGGGUCAAACUUUAAAAAGCCAUAACUCCCUUAAUCUCCCAACUCUAUACCCCAUGUUUUUUCUCUUUUUAAUAUCGGGGUGGCGUCCUGGUAUAAAAAGACACAAUCCCUGCUCUAAAGCAAGUCUGAUUUUGUUUACAUAGAUUUACGGAGACUUUAAAAAUACAACAGAAAGUGAAUCGUUCUGGCCAAAUAUAAAAAUUCGUAGCAAUCUCUGGGUACAAGGUUGGUGUGCAUCUAGUAGGUAGACGUGCGUUUAUUAUGAGUAACAUCCGUGUACUAUUUUUUUUAUAACAAAAUAGAAAUGCAGUGGGUUAAAAUAAAUUUAAAUUUUUCCUUUUUGUGGAAAAAAUGUAAAUUUCAGUUAUCCUUAGCGCAAGAGUUAGCAAAAAAGUUGCAUCGGCAUCUCUCACCACAACGUAAAGAAACUUCAAAUUUUGUAUUACGCUUCCCAUAAGUCUUUGAAGAAAACUGUUGAUAUUUCACGGGGACAAACUUACCAUUUUCAUGUUUCAAAUAAACGCCUCGAGAAAUCGGUGAAGAAGACGGUUUGGUCUAGAAGGGUGUUCAAUAGAAACGGACGCGUUUAUUCAAUGGGAGAGAAUAUCACAUUAAGUGGCCUGGUAACGAGGUUGUGAAACUAAAGCAUAAUGUCAUGUGAUCUUCAGUUUUUUUACGGCAGCCUUCCGGUAUUACUUUAUUACUUACCCUUCCUCAGAGAGCUCUCAUUAAUAUUUUAUUAAAAAAUGGUGGUAGAUCUUGUUUGAUAUGCAUUAAUCAUGAAAAGUAUACAAUAAUGUAAAAUAUGCCUUUACAAAGUCGUUAAUCGAUCGCUGUUAUGAUUUAAAUAAAUUCUAAAGGAACAUAGCCUCUAUGGUAAAGCGCCUUUGGGUCAAAGGGUGGUUUUAAAGUUCCCUCCGGCUACCGUAUUUCAGAUUUGCAAAACCAAAACAAAUAUGGUAGAUGUAUAACCGUAAGAUUUUUUUUUAAUUUUUUAUGAUUUUUACCAUUGAAAUUGAAAAACUUGAAGACACUUAAUCAUAAUUAAUUUAAGUUUUUAUUAGCAAUUUAUGUCAUAUAUCAUUAUUUUUUUUCACAGCUUUAGUAUUAUUCAAUGCAGCUAGCUAGCUAAUAGAUAAAUGCUAAUUUUCAAUUUUUCAGUGAUGGAUAUUACUGACACCACGACGGACGAUAUAUUCAGUUCACACCCUGGCAUGGAAUUUUCCUAAACUUUUUCAUCAGUGGUUUGUAUCUAUAUUUUGUGAGUAAAUAGGUGCUUUUUAAAGGA